AGCAGCCGCGGUAAUUCCAGCUCCAAUAGCGUAUAUUAAAGUUGUUGCAGUUAAGAAGCUCGUAGUUGAAUUUCGGGGUUAGCAGGUCGGUCGUGCCAUCGGUAUGAACUGGUCUCGCUGAUCCCUCCCUCUUGACGAACUGUGAUGCCAUUAAUUUGGUGUCGCAGGGAAUCAGGACUGUUACUUUGAAAAAAUUAGAGUGUUUAAAGCAGGCUCACGCUUGAAUACAUUAGCAUGGAAUAAUGAAAUAGGACGUUUGAUCCUAUUUUGUUGGUUUCUAGGAUUGACGUAAUGAUUAAUAGGGAUAGUUGGGGGCAUUAGUAUUCAAUUGUCAGAGGUGAAAUUCUUGGAUUUAUUGAAGACUAACUACUGCGAAAGCAUUUGCCAAGGAUGUUUUCAUUAAUCAAGAACGAAAGUUAGGGGAUCGAAGACGAUCAGAUACCGUCGUAG
rnacentral:rRNA from 1 species